AAGUUUGGAGAAAUAAGUUUGACGCAAUCAAGUUCACGUGGUCACACAGAUCAAUAAAUCAACCUGCUGAUAUUUUAGCGAAAAACCAGAGACAUGCUCUGUCUUCAUACAUAGUUCAUAGUUUUAUCCCAUUGUGUAUCUCAAAUGCUUUGUUUUCAAACUACGUACCUAAGUAAUAAAAAUGAAAUUCGUGUUAAAAAAAUAAAAAUAAAGAAAACUUCAAGGAUAUAAAUAAAAUUUAUAACUAGUAGUUUUGUAUA
rnacentral:sRNA from 1 species